GCUCCAGGUAAAGACUGGCGUAUUUCGAGAGAAGACAGAGAGACAACCCAAAAGGCCAAAGCAAAAAGCUCUUUCAGUUUUCAGAUUCAUCGUCUGCUGAUGAAGCCGACGAAUCUCUGCCCUGCUUCUUCCAUCUUCCUUCUUCUUCCCGCUCCAGCUGCGAUCUUUAGCGAGUCAUCAUCCCUUUCCGUUCUCUGUCACCCUUAUCUCCCUUAUCCUUCUCAUCUCCCUUUCUCGUCUCCCCGUCGUCGGAGGUUUUCCUCGACCCCUAACCCUCGUUUAGCCGACCCGAACUGGUUCUUGAGUUGCGUGAGGACCAAUCGCAGACCUGGUGGUGGUGCUGUGUUUACGAGUGUCGGUGAUGCCCUGUGUUGCUUCGGUAAAAUGAUGAAGGCGAGCCCUUUGCCUUCCUCCAGGGAUUUCAAUCUACUGUUGGGUGCUAUAGUGAGGAUGAAGCACUACUCGACUGCCAUCCGCUUGAUUGAGCAGCUGCCUUCUUUGGGCAUCGAGGGUCAUGUUGAAUUGCUCAAUAUUUGGAUAAAUUGCUUCUGCCGGUUAAAGCGGGUUGAUUUGGGUUUGUCUAUCCUGGGCAGAAUCUUCAAGCUUGGGUUUCCCAUCAAUGUCGUGACAUCGAGCACCCUGAUUGACGGUCUCUUUAUUCAGGGCAAAACUGAUCAAGCACUGAGGUUCCUCGAUGAUAUGCAACGAAACGGCCCUGAACCUAAUGAGACCACGUAUGCGAUAGUGGCGAAGGGGUUAUGCAGGGCGGGUAACACCAGAUUGGCGAUCGAAUUGCUGAGGGACUGGGAAGAGAGAAGCUGCAGCAUCAAUUCCUUCACAUACAACAUAGUAAUUGAUGGUCUUUGCAAGGAGGGAUUGAUCACAGAGGCCUUGAGACUCCACGAAAGCAUGAGUAAGAAAGGUAUCAAACCAGAUGUUGUUACUUAUAACUCCUUGAUCCACGGUCUCUGCAAUGUAGGCCAGAUGGAAGAUGCUCUCGUAUUGUUGAAAGAAAUGACGAGCAGAGGCAUCAAACCCACCAUAUUCACUUAUACCUCCUUGGUUCAUUGCUUAUGCAACCUAGGCCAAUGGAAAGAUGCUACGGUCUUGUUGGAGGAGAUGAUGAAGGCAGGGAUUGAACCAGACGUCGUUACUUAUACCUCCGUCAUUCAAGGAGUGUGCAAUUCCAGCCAAUUGAAAGAGGCUCAAAGACUGCUGAGUCAUAUGGUGCGAAGCAGAGUCAUGCCGAAUAUUUGGACCUUCACUAUUCUGGUGGAUGCACAUUGUAAAGAGGGAUUGCUUGUAGCGGCAGAAGCCAUAGUCAACCAGAUGAUUCAAUUAGGUAAAAUGCCUAAUCGUGUCACUUAUAAUGCAUUGUUGAAUGGUUAUUGUUUCCAAAAUAGAAUGGAUGAUGCUAUGGCGGUUCUUAAUUUGAUGGUUGAAAGAGGCUGCUCACCUAAUGUCGUUUCUUAUAACACGUUGAUUAAUGGAUACUGCAAAGGGAAAAGAGUUGACAAAUCAAAAAUACUGUUCCAAGAAAUGCUUGAAAGGGGCUUGAAACCUGAUGUCAUAACAUACAGCACUCUUGUGGAUGGAUUUUGCAAGGUUGGGAACCUUGAAGCUGCGGCGGAGCUAAUUAACGAAAUGCAAUCUCGCAAUCUCUUUCUAGAUCGUUAUACCUUGAAUGCUUUCCUGGAUGGCUUGUGUAAAAUGCAGCAGAUUGACAAGGCCAUGAUAUUGCUUCGAAAGAUGGAAGAUUCCAAAUUUGUCCCAAACAUUGUGACUUACAAUAUUCUAAUAAAUGGCAUGUGUAAUACCGGAAAGCUUGACGAUGCAAAGGGGCUGGUUAAUUGUUUGCAUGCUCGAGGCUUGCAACCUGAUGUGUGGACAUGUAACAUUCUCAUGCAUGGGUUGUGCAAAGGAGGACGUACGGAGGAAGCAUAUCAGCUUCUAAAGGAGAUGGAAGGAAAUGGAUGCUUUCCAGAUGGGGUCACUUAUAACACAAUAAUCCAAGGAUUGCUAAGAAAUAAUGAAAAUACUAGAGCCACGCAACUUGUCGGUGAAAUGGUCGAAAGGGGUUUUUCUGCAAAUGUAGGGACGAUAGAGUUGUGGGUUAAAUAUCUCGUGACAACUAGAACUUCUUCCUCUUCUGGUUGAUCUCUCAAUUGUGUUUGAGAUCUGUCCACUUUUUCAUCUGAAAUUUGCUGAAGAGCAAUCCAGAUUAACGGCAGGUUUUCUUCCAGACAUCACCUCCUUGGGUCCCAUGUCCCAUUAAUGAAGUGGUUUUGAGUCCGGGAGAUUUUUUCUCUUGCUUCAGUAUAAGGCUUUUGGAGGGGUGAAGGUCGGUUUUGUUUUUCGUAUACCUAGAUUCUGCAAGAAAUUUCUAUAUAUAACUGGCACAUGUACUUGCCAGUUAGUGCUUCUGGUGCCUUCUAUUUAUCAAGCAGGUGAAAUUCAUAUGAAUGAUCAAGUGGUGUGAGGAUGUUCUUGAAUUAAAUCGAUGUUAAUAGCAUCAACUUUACUGCGUACUGUAUGCAAUUCAGACACUAUACGCAAGUGUCACAGACCUCUUCCACAAUGGAACUAAAGAAAACAAAUUUUCUUUUUUGAAGGGGUGUUAUGUAUGUGCUCUGAGAGGGAGAGACACUGGUUUUCUCUUAUUUUCUUCUUGUAACAUGAUCUGAUCCUUUCAAUAUCUUAUUUACCAUAGUUAUUCAAAGAAGAUGUACAGGUGGAGGUGGAUGGUAUAUGAUCAUAGUGAUGGGCACUUUGAAUUGAUAGCAGUGAAUACGUGUGGUGGGCUGUGUACUCAGAUUACCAUCGCAGAUCAAUUACAUAUCUGGGUUAUUUUCUCUGCUUCUUACAGCAAAGUUUGAGGGAUAGCUUGCUGACUAAGGAACGUCACUGCUAGUGUAUGAAACAACUUGCAGUAUCUUUUCCUUCGCACUGUGAGGGAUUUUCCAAAAAGCAUCUGUUGAUGUGUGAACAUGAAUGCUGCUGACAGACAUUGCCAAUGCCAAACCACGUUGACAUUUUGAGUGGCACCAAUCAACUUCAUCUGAAACAGGCCAAUAGGAUGUAACUUUCUUUUGUUCUCUAUAGAGGUACGUUCAUUGCCAAUUUUCUGUUUUAAUAACUGAGGAACACAUGUUUCGGUUUAUUUUUGCGUGUUUCACUCACAACUGCAGGAUUUGCCUGGACAAUGUUGUUACGCCCUCUGCUCUUUGUUUCUUGACACAAAUAUAAUCAUAGUAACAUGCAAGCAAACUCAGGAUGCUCUUGAGUUAAGUAGAUGUUAAUGGUAAUAAAUUUACUUUGUACCAGUGAUCUGCAAUGCAGACCUUAUUCACCAAUAUCACGGACCUAAAGAAAACAGGAGUUUUUAUUUUUGUUGGGGGAAAAGAAGGGGGGUUCGAAAAAUUAUGCUAUAAAUCCUGAUUAGCUUGUUGUGUAUAUGCUUGGAGAAAGAGAUACUGUUUUCUUUUAUAUUUUUUUGCUAACACAAUCUGAUCCCUUAAGUCUGCGAUAGUUACUUCAAAGAAGAUGCAUGCGUGGAAGUGGCUGGUACUUGAGGCACUUUGAAUUGAUAGCCAAGAAUAUUUGUGGCAAGCUGGUUACUCAGAUUAUCAUUGCAGGUAGAUUACAUAUCUGGGUUAUAUGCUCUUCUUCCUACAUGGCAAAUAAUAGUGAAAUCAUUCUCAUUGCUUAUUGCUAACUAAGCAACAUGGAAGCAAGUGUAUGAAAACUACUUGCAGUAUCUUUUCCUUCUCACUGCGAGGGAUUUUCAGAAAGGCCUCUGCUGAUGGGUGAACAUGAACACCAUUGAUAGACAUUCCCAGUGCCAAACCACGUAGAUGUCUUGAGCGACACCAACCAACUUCAUCACAGGCAGGCCAAAUGAUGCAGCAGGAUUCCCUGGAGAGUCUGCCUCUUGUCACGCUCUCUACUCUUUGUUUUCUCACAUAAUCAUAGUAGUGUGGAAGCGUUUCGGAGACUGUUCUUCGAGCUAAGCUCACUUGUGGAUGUCAUGGCCGAUAUGAUUGAAUGAACUCAGAAAAAGGAACCUGUACAGCAAAGGGAUCGAA